rnacentral:lncRNA from 1 species
AAUCAUAGGCUCUUCUGAUUCUUACUAAUCACUGAAGUUUCAACAACUUAGCAUGUCAAUGCUUUUUAACAUGUCUUCAAAUGUGGUAUUGGGCAAUGAUUAACUAAAUCAUGCCGUAUUGUCCUCAAAUGAUCUUUUACACUUAGAUCUUGAGGAGAAGGUUGCUUGUGAACUCAAAACAUAAGUUCGUGCAGGAAAUCAGAUUUCCGCGCAGCAUGACCUUCAAUUACUAGAACAGUCGUAACUUUCUCUAGGAAAUACAUAUGAACGAACCGUAAACGGUUUUGGAAACUAGACUCAUUUAGCUUUCCAACCGUCGAAGUUGACUGUUUUGCUAAAAUCAGAUUCUCUGACAGAUUCGUCAUACUUUACGAAAACGGCCAUAACUCACUCAAUAUGAUAGGUAUGAUCAAAUGGUUGGUGUCCCUGGAAAGUAGACACAUAGACCUUUCCAAUGGUACCAAUUUCACCAUUUUCCAGUGAGUGAGAUUUCCUAUAGGUCUCGUGGAAGUUGACCUACAAAACUUGGCAGAUUCUGAUUUCGCUUUUGAUGUGUCUUUCUUAUGUAGGGAUAGAAUAAGCCUCAACCUUUUAUACCAUUAAGUAUUGAAAAAGGAGUUACUGCCAUUACAUUGGCGUUGCGUGGGCGCAUAGCUACACUUAGCUUUACAACUUUUCAUAGCGAAUGAGAUGUCAAGUCUUUUGUAUUGUGUUGAGUACAUUGAUGCGUCUUUUUGUACUUAGAUGGGAACUCCAUCUCUUAACACAUAUUUGUCAUCUUGCUUUAGACAAAACAACGGAUCUCUCUUUAGAGCAAAGACCUUGACUAAUCAUGGGAGUAUAUGUAGGCCUCACUAGUUAUAGAGCACCUAAGCCGAUUGAUCAUCAAUACAGUCAUCGAGUGCCUUAUCGAGACUGUGUCUUCCCAAGAUCUUUUUCUUCGGAUGUUGAUACAUAUUGGCAUCUCUUGAUCCAUCAAGAGUCCAUGUAAAUCCGGAAUGAACACGCAAAGGCAUAAUUCACCAUAUCCCUUCCAAAUCAAGUAGAGUUCAUGUGCGUUUCAAUACAUUUAGCAAACGCAUGCUCCUGUGGUUUGGAGCAACUUGAUUUGGAUGAAUGAAGUCUGUUUAAGAUCUUCAUGUAUAUCUCUGAUCCCAUAGAGAUGUUAUUAUGACCACAUUCAUAGGCUGCAUGUUCAGUUAGUCGGAAACUACCAAACUGACAAAGUAGUGGAGUUCAAUGACAUCCAUUACGAGAGCAUAUCUUAUCGUAGUCGACCCAGUGCGUGUUAGUGAGAGACCUUGCGCCAUAAGGUGAGUCUAAGCUCUUGUUCUCACUACGCUAUCUAACAAAGGUAUAGUUGAUAGGGUUUAGCUUGCGGUGUCGGCAUCACCUGCCCAAGGACCUAUCUCUUUGUUAAUGCUGGAUCGCAUCUUUCCAUUAGGCCAAUCAACUAAGUUGAUAUCCAUCAACGAAGGGUGGUUCGAUAGUAGACUCAUUAUCUCACGUCCUCAUGUACACUAGUGUAAUACUUGUAGAGAUCUCUAUAUGGAUUGGAUUUGACAUUGAGGCGUCCCCCAACGAUAAUCACAAUUCAGACUUCAUGAGACGGAUUUGAGUAUCACUGAUCAAUGGAUCAGGUUGUGCCAAUCUCGCUUUCUUCCUA